CUGAGUGAACCAAUGCCGAUGCUUGUUUGCAUAUGACGUCACGUCACUGCGUUGCCAUGGCGCGAAAUGCAGAUGGAGGGCAGGAAGUGAUUUGCUACAUUUAGGAAGCACCAUAACAAACUGAAAAUGUCUGUUUGCGCCGUUUAUGGUUGGUUAAAUCGAUUAAACCGUGAAACCACGAGGAGUUUUGAUCGUUGUUGUUCAUAAAGGUGAAAAAUGCAACACCUACAAAAAUCUGGAGGAGCUGAAUCUGAAAAUGUGUGCAGUGAUCACUUCUUCAAAGGUGCUGUGCUGAAGUUUGUCAGUAGAUGUUGGAUCAUCAGCCAGUACAGAGUGCAGACCUUUGGAGCAGGUCCCACAGACCCAGGGCUAUAUUACUGAAGGCCUGCAAGAAAAAAAAAUGCUUGGGUGUCUGAGGUUUGUGCACCCCGUUGCCAGAGACAUCCAAUACAUGUCUUACGGAUAAAGGACCUGUAUGAUGUUGUUCUUCAAGGUGAUGCAGGACAAGAGGAUGAACCCUCUUCAGUACCAGACGAACCCCCAACUGGACCACGAAUGGCCCAACCAGAUCCCCAGGUAGAAGUGGCCUUACUUCAUCCCCCAGCAGCUCCAACUGGACCACCAAUGGUGACCCCAGAUCCCCAGGUAGCAACAUCCCUGCAAGAUCCCCCAACACACUCAGCUGGAGCACUGAAGGCCCUGUCUGGACCCCCAGCAGCCCUUAUUGGACCACCGAAGUCCCCAAACGCAUUGGCAGGAAGGCAUAAUGUGAAAAUGUUAAAAAGAUUCAGACUCUGGGCAUCCCUGCUUUCAAAAGAAAUGGGUAUAAAAAAAACUCUCGUCAAAUUCCAUAAACUGCUCCAUUUAGCUGUUAUCAUCACUUAAAUGACGCCUGUGUUUGCCCAUAUUUAGGAUUAGGCCUGUGCGAAAUGACUGCAUUUUAUUGGACGAUACAGAAAUGUCUAUUGUUUUAAAGUUAUGCUCUAUUGUUUAUUUCGUUCUGUCGCAAACGUGGAGCGUUCUGUUCUUCUUCUAUAUGUGCCGGUGUUGAAGGGAAGAAAUGCAGGAAUAAACAAACAUGAAGGAGAGUGAAGUUUCCUCAGAACUGGGUAAAUACUGCACAGAAGGACUCAGACCAUGAAAGCAAAAAUGAGGAGCUCGUUCCAAAAAGAGAACUGUGUUUUAUGGACAAACAACACUAUAAUUGUCAUGAUUUGUGUCAGUAAUGUUUAAUGACUCACCCACUGACAUUCAGCUUACUUGAUGAAGAUAUGCUGCUGUUGUGAUGUCAGCUGUAGCAGCUGUACUAUUACUAACAGUGUGUACUUUACUUAUACUGCGCUUGGAGCUUGUGCUACAGGAAGUGUCAUAUAAUGCCAUCUCUAAGGUAAAUAAGAUGAUGUCAAAUGGUGUAUAUAGCCAUUUAGCCAUAUGACCGCAGUAUAAACAUUAUAAAGUGUAAAGUAGUGGAAUGAGAGGAUGGACACUGGAGAUUUGCAGUACUUGAGGGCUGAAUAGAGCUGAGGGUCAGGGACAUGACCAGUAAAUCACACCAAUUCUCCUUUCACUUCACUGGCUUCCUGUUUCUGUGAGGAUUGAAUACAAGGUCACCCUUCUCACCCACCAGUGCAUCUAUGGAAAGAACUACUCACCCCUGUAACUACAACACGAUCCCUCCGCUCAGCAAACUCAAACUGCCUCCUUCUCCCCAGGACUGAGCUCAGCACCACGGGUGUUUUCUGUUCUGCCGCUCCUCGGAUCUGGAAUGCCCUCCCCGACCAUCUGAGGGCACCUCAGACUACUGAGACUUUCAAAAAAGGACCAAAAGCAUUUCUUUUUAGCAAAACGUAUGAGUUUUUAUCAACCCUGCCAAUUGAUUUAUUAUCUGUUUGUAUUUUAUAUUGAUGUUUUUAGCUUGCUUUUAAGAUUUUAUCUGUAGCAUUUUGAGAUUUGCUUCAAAUAUAAAGUGCAUUACAAAUAAAAUGUAUUAUUAAAUACUAUUAUUAGUCCAUAA